AUUGAACGCUGGCGGCAGGCCUAACACAUGCAAGUCGAACGAGUGGCAGACGGGUGAGUAAUGUCUGGGAAACUGCCUGAUGGAGGGGGAUACUUAUUGGAAACGGUAGCUAAUACCGCAUACCAUCAGAUGUGCCCAGAUGGGAUUGGCUUGUUGGUGGGGUAACGGCUCACCAAGGCCACGAUCCCUAGCUGGGCUGAGAGGGUGACCAACACAACUGGAACUGAAACACGGUGCAGACUCCAUCGGGGGGCAGCAGUGGGGACUAUUGCACAAUGGGCACAAGCCGAAUGCACCCAUGCCGCGGGGUUGAAGAGGUCCUUCGGGUUGGAAAGCACUUUCAGCGGGAAGGCGUUACCCGCAGAAGAAGCGCCGGCUAACUCCGUGCCAGCAGCCGCGGUAAUUC
rnacentral:rRNA from 1 species